GAUGAGCGGGAAACAUCAACACACUUGCUCAACGCCAUACAGGCGAGAGAAAUGUCGCACACUGAUUGAACACCCUGCUGUAGGAAACGACAUGACGUCAAGAAUGUAACAUCACACGAAUGAUUCAAUGGAAAUGGACACAUCGUAUUUGAGCUAUUCACUAACGAACACGAGCAAUGUCUUCCGUACGUCGACGUCCGUUUGAAAUCAAGUGCAAUGCUAGAAGUGAACUUCGAAUAUACUGUUGGGAACCUGCAGGUGUGCUUGUAGGCUGUCAGCUCAGUUGAUCGAACUCAUCCAUAUCAGAGGGGAAAUUAAGUGACAUCUUGUCUACGGGCACUCUUGUACUGCUCGUUUUCUACUACUUUAGGUCGCAUUUUCCGUCAUUUGUGAAAUUAAGUAAAGCAUUUGUCCUGUGUCCC